UACGUAGGUGGCAAGCGUUGUCCGGAUUUACUGGGCGUAAAGGGAGCGUAGGUGGAUAUUUAAGUGGGAUGUGAAAUAUCCGGGCUUAACCUGGGUGCUGCAUUCCAAACUGGAUAUCUAGAGUGCAGGAGAGGAAAGGAGAAUUCCUAGUGUAGCGGUGAAAUGCGUAGAGAUUAGGAAGAAUACCAGUGGCGAAGGCGCCUUUCUGGACUGUAACUGACACUGAGGCUCGAAAGCGUGGGGAGCAAACAGG
rnacentral:rRNA from 1 species